rnacentral:rRNA from 1 species
UACAGAGGGUGCAAGCGUUAAUCGGAAUUACUGGGCGUAAAGCGCGCGUAGGUGGUUCGUUAAGUUGGAUGUGAAAUCCCCGGGCUCAACCUGGGAACUGCAUUCAAAACUGUCGAGCUAGAGUAUGGUAGAGGGUGGUGGAAUUUCCUGUGUAGCGGUGAAAUGCGUAGAUAUAGGAAGGAACACCAGUGGCGAAGGCGACCACCUGGACUGAUACUGACACUGAGGUGCGAAAGCGUGGGGAGCAAACAGGAUUAGAAACCCCCGUAGUCC